GACGAACGCUGGCGGCGUGCUUAACACAUGCAAGUCGAGCGGAAAGGCUCCUUCGGGAGUACUCGAGCGGCGAACGGGUGAGUAACACGUGGGUAAUCAACCCCUGACAUCGGGAUACCCCGGGGAAACCCGGAUCAAUACCGAAUAAGGUGCGGAGUCGCUGGACGCCGUACCAAAGGUAGCUUCGGCCUCCGGUCAGGGACGAGCCCGCGGCCCAUUAGCUUGUUGGCGGGGUAAUGGCCCACCAAGGCGACGAUGGGUAGCUGGUCUGAGAGGACGAUCAGCCACACUGGGACUGAGACACGGCCCAGACUCCUACGGGAGGCAGCAGUGGGGAAUAUUGCGCAAUGGGCGAAAGCCUGACGCAGCAACGCCGCGUGCGGGAAGAAGGCUUUCGGGUCGUAAGCCGCUUUCAGCAGGGACGAAGCUUCCGGGGUUAAUAGCCUACGGGGUGACGGUACCUGCAGAAGAAGCCCUGGCUAACUACGUGCCAGCCGCCGCCGUAAUAC
rnacentral:rRNA from 1 species